rnacentral:rRNA from 1 species
UCAAGCGAUUAAGCGCACACGGUGGAUGCCUUGGCAGCCAGAGGCGAUGAAGGACGUUGUAGCCUGCGAUAAGGUUCGGUGAGGUGGCAAACAACCUGCGACCCGGACAUUUCCGAAUGGGGAAACCCAUCCAGCACAAGCUGGAUAUCCCACACUGAAUCCAUAGGUGUUGGGAAGCGAACCGGGAGAACUGAAACAUCUAAGUACCCCGAGGAAAAGAAAUCAACCGAGAUUCCCCCAGUAGCGGCGAGCGAACGGGGAGUAGCCCUUAAGCAUGUGACUGGUUAGACGAACGCGCCUGGAAAGGCCGGCCAUAGUGGGUGAUAGCCCCGUAGUCGAAAACCUGAAUGUGUGAAAUCGAGUAGGUCGGGGCACGUGAAACCCUGACUGAACAUGGGGGGACCAUCCUCCAAGGCUAAAUACUCCUGGCUGACCGAUAGUGAACCAGUACCGUGAGGGAAAGGCGAAAAGAACCCCGGAGAGGGGAGUGAAAUAGAUCCUGAAACCGUGUGCGUACAAGCAGUGGGAGCAGACGCGUUCUGUGACCGCGUACCUUUUGUAUAAUGGGUCAGCGACUUAUAUUCAGUGGCGAGCUUAACCGUAUAGGGGAGGCGUAGAGAAAUCGAGUCUUAACUGGGCGACCAGUCGCUGGAUAUAGACCCGAAACCGGGCGAUCUAUCCAUGGCCAGGGUGAAGGUUGAGUAACAUCAACUGGAGGCCCGAACCCAAGUAUGUUGAAAAAUGCUGGGAUGAGCUGUGGAUCGGAGUGAAAGGCUAAUCAAGCUCGGAGAUAGCUGGUUCUCCUCGAAAGCUAUUUAGGUAGCGCCUCACGUAUUACCGCCGGGGGUAGAGCACUGUUUCGGCUAGGGGCCCAUCCCGGGUUACCAACCCGAGGCAAACUCCGAAUACCGGUGAGUAGAGCGUGGGAGACACACGGCGGGUGCUAACGUCCGUCGUGAAAAGGGAAACAACCCAGACCGUCAGCUAAGGCCCCCAAAUUCUGGUUAAGUGGGAAACGAUGUGGGAAGGCAUAGACAGCUAGGAGGUUGGCUUAGAAGCAGCCAUCCUUUAAAGAAAGCGUAAUAGCUCACUAGUCGAGUCGGCCUGCGCGGAAGAUGUAACGGGGCUCAAACCAGAUGCCGAAGCUACGGGUUCAUCCUUAUGGAUGAGCGGUAGAGGAGCGUCGUGUAAGUCUGUGAAGGUGUGUUGAGAAGCAUGCUGGAGAUAUCACGAGUGCGAAUGCUGACAUGAGUAACGACAAGGGGAGUGAAAAACUCCCCCGCCGGAAGACCAAGGUUUUCUGUUCUAUGCUAAUCAGAGCAGAGUGAGUCGGCCCCUAAGGCGAGGCUGAAAAGCGUAGUCGAUGGGAAACGGGUUAAUAUUCCCGUACCGGAUGUGAUUGCGAUGGGGGGACGAAGAAGGCUAGGUGAGCCAGGCGUUGGUUGUCCUGGUGAAAGUCAGUAGGCUGAGGACUUAGGCAAAUCCGGGUCCUUUAGGCCGAGAGACGAGACGAACGGACUACGGUCCGGAAGUCAUCGAUGCCACGCUUCCAGGAAAAGCCUCUAAGCUUCAGAUCACAUGCGACCGUACCCCAAACCGACACAGGUGGUCAGGGUGAGAAUCCCAAGGCGCUUGAGAGAACUCGGGUGAAGGAACUAGGCAAAAUGGCACCGUAACUUCGGGAGAAGGUGCGCCGGCUUAGGGUGAAGGACCUCGCGUCCCGAGCUUGAACCGGUCGAAGAUACCAGGUGGCUGCAACUGUUUAUUAAAAACACAGCACUCUGCUAACGCGUAAGCGGACGUAUAGGGUGUGACGCCUGCCCGGUGCCGGAAGGUUAAUUGAUGGUGUUAGCCGUAAGGCGAAGCUCUUGAUCGAAGCCCCGGUAAACGGCGGCCGUAACUAUAACGGUCCUAAGGUAGCGAAAUUCCUUGUCGGGUAAGUUCCGACCUGCACGAAUGGCGUAAUGAUGGCCACGCUGUCUCCACCCGAGACUCAGUGAAAUUGAAAUCGCAGUGAAGAUGCUGUGUACCCGCGGCUAGACGGAAAGACCCCGUGAACCUUUACUAUAGCUUCACACUGGACGCUGAUGUUGCUUGUGUAGGAUAGCUGGGAGGCUUGGAAACC